rnacentral:rRNA from 1 species
UACGUAGGGUGCGAGCGUUAAUCGGAAUUACUGGGCGUAAAGCGUGCGCAGGCGGCGCCGCAAGUCAGGCGUGAAAUCCCCGAGCUUAACUUGGGAAUGGCGCUUGAAACUACGGUGCUGGAGUGUGGCAGAGGGAGGUGGAAUUCCACGUGUAGCGGUGAAAUGCGUAGAGAUGUGGAGGAACACCGAUGGCGAAGGCGGGUCUCUGGGCCGUAACUGACGCUGAGGAGCGAAAGCAUGGGGAGCGAACAGG